rnacentral:lncRNA from 1 species
GGAACCUGCUGACAUGUGAUGUCUCCCCCAGGCACCCAGCUUUAAAAUUUCUCUCUUUUGUACUCUUUCCCUUUAUUUCUCAGACUGGCGGACACUUAGGGAAAAUAGAAAAGGACUCAUGUUGAAUUAUCGGGGUUGGGUUCCCCUGAUAUAUAUGCCUAUUUUUUUUUAACCAGUGUCAUGCUGUUUUGGUUACUGUAGCACUGUAAUAUUGUUGGAUGUCUGGUAACGUGAGGCCUUCAGCUUUUGUUUGUUUGUUUGUUUUGUUUUAUUUUGUUUUUUGCUUAGAAUUGCCUUGGCUAUUUGGGCUCUUUUGUGAUUCCAUAUAUAUGUUAAAAUAGUUUUUCCUAGGUCUGUGAAAAUUGUCAUUGGUAGUUUGAUAGGAAUAGCAUUGAAUCUGUAAAUUGCUUUGGGCAGUGUGGUCAUUUUUACAAUAUUGAGUCUUCCUAUCCAAGAGCAUGGGAUGUUACCAUUUGUUUUUGUCUUCUCUAAUUUAUUUAAGCAGUGUUUUGUAAUUCUCAUUGUAGAGAUCUUUCACCUCCCUGGUUAGCUGCAUUCCUAUGUAUUUUAUUCUUUUUGAAGCAAUUGUGAAUGGGACUGCCUUCCUGAUUUGGCUCUUGGCUUGGCUCUUCUUGGUGUAUAGAAAUGCUAGUGAUAUGUGCACAUUGAUUUUGUAUUCUGAAACUUUGCUGAAUUUGUUUAUCAGCUGAAGGAGUUUUUCGGUACAGACUAUGAGGUUUUCCAGAUAUAAAAUCAUCUCACAUACAAACAGAAAUAGUUUGACUUCCUGUUUUCCUAUUUGGAUGGCCUUUAUUUCUUUCUCUUGCUUGACUGUUCUGGCUAGGGCUUCCAAUACUAUGUUGAAUAGAAAUGGUGAGAAUGGACAUCCUUAUCUUGUGCCAGUUUUCAAGGGGAAUGCUUCUGACAUUUGCCCAUUCAGUAUAAUGUUGGCUGUGGGUUUUUUAUAGAUGGCUGUUAUUAUUUUGAGGUAUGUUCCUUCGGUACGUAGUUUAUUGAGAGUUUUUAACAUGAAGAGAUGUUGAAUUUUGCCAAAAGCCUGUUCUGUGUUUAUUGAGAUAAUCAUGUGGUUUUUGUUUUUAGUUCUGUUUAUGUGAUGAAUCAAAUGUAUUGACUUGCAUAUGUUAAACCAACCUUGCAUCCUGGGGAUGAAGCCCACUUGAUCAUGGUGGAUUAGCUUUUUGAUGUGCUUCUGGAUUCAUUUUGCAAGUAUUUUCUUGAGGAUUUUUGUAUCAAUGUUCAUCAAAGAUAUUGGCUGAAAGUUUUGUUUUUCUGUCGUGUCUCUGCCAGGUUUUGGUAUCCAGAUGAUUCUGGCCUUAUAGAAUGAGUUGGGGAGGAUUUCCUCUUCCUCAAUUUUCUGAAAUAGUUUCUGUAGAAAUAGUACCAGCUCUUCUUUGUACAUGUGGUACAAUAAGGCUGUGAAUCCAUCAGAUCCUGGGGGUUUUUUUGUUACUAGGCUAUUUAUUACAGAUUCAAUUUCAGAUCUUGCUAUUGGUUUGUUGAGGAAAUCAAUUUCUUCUUGGUUCAGUCUUGGGAGGGUGUAUGUUUCCAGAAAUUUAUCCAUCUGUUCUAGGUUCUGUACUUAUUAUGCAUAGAGGUGUAAAUAGUAGUUUCUGAUGGUUAUUUCUAUUUCUGUGGGGUCAGUGAUAACAUUCCCUUCAUGAUUUCUACUUGAGUUUAUUUGGAUCUUCUCUCUUUUCUUAUUUAUUAGCCUAGGGAGUGGCCUAUCUUGUUAUUUUUUAAAAAAAAACAACUCCAACUCCUGGAUUUGUUGAUAUUUUGAAUUUUUUCUGUCUCAAUUUCCUUCAGUUCAGCUCUGAUUUCGAUUAUUUCUUGUCUUCUGCUAGCUUUAGGUUGAUUUGUUUGUGCUACUUUAAUUCUUUCAGUUGUGAUGUUGGGUCAUUAAUAUAAGAUCUUUCUAACUUUCUGACUUGGGCAUUUAGUGCUAUGAAUUUCCCUCUCAACAGUGCCUUAACUGUGUCCCAGAGGUUCCCCUAUGUUGCAUCAUUGUUUUCAUUAGUUUCAAAGAUCUUCUUGAUUUCUGACUUAAUUUCAUUAUUUACUCAAACGUCAUUCAAGAGCAUGUUGUUUAAUUUCCACGUAAUUGCAUGUUUUUGAGCAAUGUUCUUAGUCUUGUCUUCUACUUGUAUUGACAUUGUGGUCUAAAAGUGUGUUUGGUAUGAUUUUGGAUCUUUUGCUGUUGCUGAGGAUUGUUUUAUGUCCAAUUAUGUGGACAAUUUUAGGAUAUGUGCCAUGUGGCAUCAAGAAGAAUAUAUAUUCUGUUGUUUUGGGGUGGAGAGUUCUGUAGAGGUCUAUCAGAUCCAUUUGGUCCAAUGUUGAGUUCAAGUCCUGAAUAUCUUUGUUAAUUUUCUGCCUUGCUGAUUUGUCUAAUACUGUCAGUGGAAUGUUGAAGUCUCCCAAAUAGAUUUUAGGUUGCUGGUGUUUUUGUUUUUUAGAUUUUUUUUUCUCUUUGCACGUUAAAUAUGUUGUUUCAUAGUCUUCUGUGCUCUUUUGCUUCUGAUGUUAAGUUCACUGACAUUCUAUCCUUCCCAUCCCCUACUACAGUAUCUAAUGUAUUAUGUUUUGUUUUCCCCUUCAACUCUUUUGAAAAGUUUUCAUUAUUUUGGUUUUCAGCUAUUUGAUUAUGGACAUUCCUUGGUUUGCUGCUCUUUCUAUAGGACCAGCAUGCUGUGCCCCACCCCCAACCUGCUGCUGUGAUGUACAAAGAGCCAAUGUUAGAUAUACUGAGUAGCUUACCUCACUUGUUUCCCUUCCCUCAUGAAUCACAAUUUUGCUGACUAUCCAAUAAGAGUGAACAUGUGGUUCCCCAUUUAAAGUGAAAGCUUUCUUUUG